rnacentral:rRNA from 1 species
UACAGAGGUCUCAAGCGUUGUUCGGAUUCAUUGGGCGUAAAGGGUGCGUAGGCGGCGCGGUAAGUCGGGUGUGAAAUCUUGGAGCUUAACUCCGAAACUGCAUUCGAUACUGCCGUGCUUGAGGACUGGAGAGGAGACUGGAAUUUACGGUGUAGCGGUGAAAUGUGUAGAGAUCGGGAGGAACACCGGUGGCGAAGGCGGGUCUCUGGGCAUCUCCUGACGCUGAGGCGCGAAAGCGUGGGGAGCAAACGGG